CGAGAGGAUUGAAGGGGUUAA
rnacentral:miRNA from 1 species